UGGGGAAUAUUGCACAAUGGGGGAAACCCUGAUGCAGCGACGCCGCGUGAGCGAAGAAGGUUUUCGAAUCGUAAAGCUCUGUCCUAUGAGAAGAUAAUGACGGUAUCAUAGGAGGAAGCCCCGGCUAAAUACGUGCCAGCAGCCGCGGUAAUACGUAUGGGGCGAGCGUUGUCCGGAAUUAUUGGGCGUAAAGGGUACGUAGGCGGUCCUUCAAGUCGGUGGUUAAAGGCUACGGCUCAACCGUAGUAAGCCGCCGAAACUGGAGGACUUGAGUGCAGGAGAGGAAAGUGGAAUUCCCAGUGUAGCGGUGAAAUGCGUAGAUAUUGGGAGGAACACCAGUAGCGAAGGCGGCUUUCUGGACUGCAACUGACACUGAGGCACGAAAGCGUGGGUAGCAAACAGG
rnacentral:rRNA from 1 species